AUGGCGGAAGAACAGAAUGGUACCUACACCGUUGUCAUUCGCCUCCCCAUCUUCCUCCAUGAUUGGGAAUCAGGAAAGAUUUUCACCUGUGCAGUGGAAUAUCCAGGCUUGGCUGUUCCCAUCACAAAGACAAUUUCCAAGCCCACAGGCAAGAGCAGUGCACCCAAGGUCUGCAUCUUCCCUCCGGCUCGAGAGAAACUCAGCCCAGGCAGAGAGGUUAUCCUUACCUGCCUGGUGAAUGGGCUUUCCCCAUCAAAUAUUGAUAUCCAGUGGCUAAAGAAUUACAAUCCUCUGCCAGAAGACAACUUUGUGAAUACCCCAGCUAUGAAGAAUAACCAUGAAGAUUCCUUCUUCGCCUACAGCAAACUGAGUAUCCCCAGAGAUGAUUGGGACCAGCCCAACGUAUUCACCUGUAUGGUGGUUCAUGAAGCCCUCCCCAUGAAGUUCACUCAGAGGAACAUGUCAAAAUCUCAGGGUAAAAAAUGAAGACUGAUCUCAACCAGCUUCUC